UGAGACUGCCUGACCCUCCGGUUC
rnacentral:piRNA from 1 species